AUUGAACGCUGGCGGCAGGCCUAACACAUGCAAGUCGAGCGAGCGGCGGACGGGUGAGUAAUGUCUGGGAAACUGCCUGAGGGGGGGGGAGAACUACUGGAAACGGUAGCUAAUACCGCAUACCCUCAGAUGUGCCCAGAUGGGAUGAGCUCGUAGGUGGGGUAACGGCUCACCUAUGCGACGAGCCCUAGCUGGUCUGGGAGUAUGACCAGUCAAACUGGAACUUAGAAACUGGCCAACCGUCUAGGCGAGGAAGAGUGGGUGCAUAUUGCACAAUGGGAGCAAGCCUGCUGCAGUCAUGCAGCGUGGGUGAAGAAGGCCUUAGGGUUGUAAAGCUCUAUCAGCGGGGAGGCGUUACCCGCAGAAGAAGCACCGGCUAACUCCGUGCCAGCAGCCGCGGUAAUAC
rnacentral:rRNA from 1 species